rnacentral:rRNA from 1 species
AAAACAUGUCCUUUUGAUUUUAUUUAAGGUCGUACCUGCUCAAUGUAUUUAUAAAUAGCCGCAGUAUAUUAACUGUGCUAAGGUAGCAUAAUAAUUAGUCUUUUAAUUGGGGUCUGGAAUGAAUGGUUUGACGAAAAAUAUACUUUAUUAAUUGAAUUUUUUUUGAAUUUUCUUUUUUAGUUAAAAUUCUAAAAUAUAAAAGAGGGACGAUAAGACCCUAUAGAUCUUUAUAAUUUAAUUUUUAUUUAUUUUUUAGUAGUUUUUUUUUGUACAAAUUUAUUUUAUUUUGUUGGGGUGACAACUAAAAAUUUAAACUUUAGUUUAUUUUUACACUUUUUUGUGGAUUUUUUGAUCCUUAAAUUUUGAUUAUAAGAAUAAGAUACCUUAGGGAUAACAGCGUUAUUCAUUUGGAGAGUUCAAAUCGAUAAAUGAGUUUGCGACCUCGAUGUUGGAUUAAAAUUGAUAUAUGGGGUAGGUUUUAUAUAAUUAGGUCUGUUCGACCUUUAAAAUU